GGGAGCUUGCUCCCUGGGUGACGAGCGGCGGACGGGUGAGUAAUGUCUGGGAAACUGCCUGAUGGAGGGGGAUAACUACUGGAAACGGUAGCUAAUACCGCAUAACGUCGCAAGACCAAAGAGGGGGACCUUCGGGCCUCUUGCCAUCAGAUGUGCCCAGAUGGGAUUAGCUAGUAGGUGGGGUAAUGGCUCACCUAGGCGACGAUCCCUAGCUGGUCUGAGAGGAUGACCAGCCACACUGGAACUGAGACACGGUCCAGACUCCUACGGGAGGCAGCAGUGGGGAAUAUUGCACAAUGGGCGCAAGCCUGAUGCAGCCAUGCCGCGUGUGUGAAGAAGGCCUUCGGGUUGUAAAGCACUUUCAGCGAGGAGGAAGGUGGUGA
rnacentral:rRNA from 1 species